GCGAACGGGUGAGUAAUAUAUCGGAACGUGCCCAAUAGUGGGGGAUAGCCCGGCGAAAGCCGGAUUAAUACCGCAUACGACCUGAGGGUGAAAGCGGGGGAUCGCAAGACCUCGCGCUAUUGGAGCGGCCGAUAUCAGAUUAGGUAGUUGGUGAGGUAAAGGCUCACCAAGCCGACGAUCUGUAGCUGGUCUGAGAGGACGACCAGCCACACUGGGACUGAGACACGGCCCAGACUCCUACGGGAGGCAGCAGUGGGGAAUUUUGGACAAUGGGCGCAAGCCUGAUCCAGCCAUGCCGCGUGCGGGAAGAAGGCCUUCGGGUUGUAAACCGCUUUUGUCAGGGAAGAAAUCUUCUGAGUUAAUACCUCGGGAGGAUGACGGUACCUGAAGAAUAAGCACCGGCUAACUACGUGCCAGCAGCCGCGGUAAUACGUAGGGUGCAAGCGUUAAUCGGAAUUACUGGGCGUAAAGCGUGCGCAGGCGGUCUUGCAAGACAGGUGUGAAAUCCCCGGGCUUAACCUGGGAACUGCACUUGUGACUGCAAGGCUGGAGUACGGCAGAGGGGGAUGGAAUUCCGCGUGUAGCAGUGAAAUGCGUAGAUAUGCGGAGGAACACCGAUGGCGAAGGCAAUCCCCUGGGCCUGUACUGACGCUCAUGCACGAAAGCGUGGGGAGCAAACAGGAUUUAGAUACCCUGGUAGUCCACGCCCUAAACGAUGUCAACUGGUUGUUGGGACGGCUUGCUGUUCAGUAACGUAGCUAACGCGUGAAGUUGACCGCCUGGGGGAGUACGGCCGCAAGGUUGAAACUCAAAGGAAUUUGACGGGGACCCGCACAAGCGGUGGAUGAUGUGGUUUAAUUCGAUGCAACGCGAAAAACCUUACCUACCCUUGACAUGCCUGGAAUCCUGCAGAGAUGUGGGAGUGCUCGAAAGAGAGCCAGGACACAGGUGCUGCAUGGCCGUCGUCAGCUCGUGUCGUGAGAUGUUGGGUUAAGUCCCGCAACGAGCGCAACCCUUGUCAUUAGUUGCUACGAAAGGGCACUCUAAUGAGACUGCCGGUGACAAACCGGAGGAAGGUGGGGAUGACGUCAGGUCCUCAUGGCCCUUAUGGGUAGGGCUACACACGUCAUACAAUGGCCGGUACAGAGGGCUGCCAACCCGCGAGGGGGAGCCAAUCCCAGAAAACCGGUCGUAGUCCGGAUCGCAGUCUGCAACUCGACCUGCGUG
rnacentral:rRNA from 1 species